UCAAGUUAUUAAGGGUGCAGGGCGGAUGCCUUGGCACUAGGAGCCGAUGAAGGACGUGAUAAGCUGCGAUAAGCUUCGGGGAGUUGCACGUAAACUUUGAUCCGAAGAUUUCCGAAUGAGGAAACUCACUUAGAGUAAUGUCUAAGUAUCAUUAAGUGAAUACAUAGCUUAAUGAGGGGAACUCAGGGAACUGAAACAUCUAAGUACCUGAAGGAAGAGAAAGAAAUUCGAUUCCGUAAGUAGCGGCGAGCGAACGCGGAUUAGCCCAAACCAAUAAAGUUUUCUUUAUUGGGGUUGCGGACAUAUCAUAACGAAGAGGUAUCGUAAUUGAAGAGGUUUGGAAAGACCCACCACAGAAGGUAAUAGUCCUGUAUGUUAAACGAGAAGACUUUAGAUAUGAUCCAGAGUACCACGGGACACGUGAAACCCUGUGGGAAGCAGGAGGGACCACCCUCCAAGGCUAAAUACUACCUAGUGACCGAUAGCGUAUAGUACCGUGAGGGAAAGGUGAAAAGAACCCCGGGAGGGGAGUGAAAUAGAACCUGAAACCCUGCACUUACAAGCUGUGGAAGCACAUUUCUUGUGUGACCGCGUACUUUUUGUAGAACGGGCCAACGAGUUACGUUAAGUAGCAAGGUUAAGCACUUAAGGUGCGGAGCCGUAGCGAAAGCGAGUUUUAACUGAGCGUUCAGUUACUUGACGUAGACCCGAAACCGGGCGAUCUACCCAUGAGCAGGAUGAAGCGAAAGUAAAAUUUCGUGGAGGUCCGAACCCACGAGCGUUGAAAAGCUCGGGGAUGACUUGUGGGUAGCGGUGAAAUUCCAAUCGAGCCCGGAGAUAGCUGGUUCUCCCCGAAAUAGCUUUAGGGCUAGCCUCAAGGUGAGAGAUACGGAGGUAGAGCACUGAAUGUCCUAGGGGGUAUUGCACCUACCGAAGACUAUCAAACUCCGAAUGCCGUCAUCUUAUACUUGGGAGUCAGACUGUGGGUGAUAAGAUUCAUAGUCGAAAGGGCAACAGCCCAGAUCGUCAGCUAAGGUCCCUAAAUGUAAGUUAAGUGGUAAAGGAUGUGGGAUUGCACAGACAACCAGGAUGUUGGCUUAGAAGCAGCCACUCAUUCAAAGAGUGCGUAAUAGCUCACUGGUCGAGUGAUCCUGCGCCGAAGAUUUCCGGGGCUAAAACUUACUACCGAAGCUACGGCAUCAGUAAUGAUGGGUAGGGGAGCUUCCCAUAUGGGUUGAAGCAUGACCGUAAGGACAUGUGGACAGUAUGGGAGUGAGAAUGUUGGCAUGAGUAGCGAGAUGUGGGUGAGAAUCCCACAGGCCGUAAACCCAAGGUUUCCAGGGGAAGGUUCGUCCGCCCUGGGUUAGUCGGGACCUAAGCUGAGGCCGAAAGGCGUAGGUGAUGGACAACAGGUUGAUAUUCCUGUACUACCGAUAACCGUUUGAGAGAAGGGAUGACACAGUAGGAUAAGCUAAGCACACUGUUGGUUAUGUGUGCCCAAGCAUUGAGGCAGUCAAAGUAGGCAAAUCCGCUUUGAUAAUGCUGGGAUGUGAUGGGGAGCGAAAUUUAGUAGCGAAGUAGCUGAUUUCACACUGUCAAGAAAAGUCUCUAUCGAGGUUAAAGGUACCCGUACCGCAAACCGACACAGGUGGGUGAGGAGAGUAUCCUAAGGCCAGCGAGAGAACUGUUGUUAAGGAACUCGGCAAAAUGACCCCGUAACUUAGGGAUAAGGGGUGCCACCAUCCGGUGGCCGCAGAGAAUAGGCUCAAGCGACUGUUUACCAAAAACAUAGGUUUCUGCUAAGUCGCAAGACGAUGUAUAGGAGCUGACGCCUGCCCGGUGCUGGAAGGUUAAGGGGAUCUGUUAGAGCAAUCGAAGCAGUGAACUUAAGCCCCAGUAAACGGCGGCCGUAACUAUAACGGUCCUAAGGUAGCGAAAUUCCUUGUCGGGUAAGUUCCGACCCGCACGAAAGGCGUAACGAUUUGGGCACUGUCUCAACA
rnacentral:rRNA from 1 species